CACGUAGGCACCAAGCGUUGUCCGGAUUUAUUGGGCGUAAAGAGCUCGUAGGCGGUUCGGUAAGUCGGGUGUGAAAACUUUGGGCUCAACCCAAAGCCUGCACCCGAUACUGCUGUGACUCGAGUCCGGGUAGGGGAGUGGGGAAUUCCUGGUGUAGCGGUGGAAUGCGCAGAUAUCAGGAGGAACACCGGUGGCGAAGGCGCCACUCUGGGCCGGGUACUGACGCUGAGGAGCGAAAGCGUGGGGAGCGAACAGG
rnacentral:rRNA from 1 species